UACGGAGGGUGCAAGCGUUGUCCGGAUUUAUUGGGUUUAAAGGGUGCGUAGGCGGCCCGUUAAGUCAGUGGUUAAAGCCUCCAGCUCAACUGGAGAACUGCCAUUGAUACUGGCGGGCUUGAGUACAGACGAGGUAGGCGGAAUUGAUUGUGUAGCGGUGAAAUGCAUAGAUACAAUCAAGAACACCGAUUGCGUAGGCAGCUUACUAGGCUGUAACUGACGCUGAGGCACGAAAGCGUGGGGAGCGAACAGG
rnacentral:rRNA from 1 species